ensembl:lncRNA
CUGAAACAUAAAUUAAGCAGUCUAACCAUCCAUAGUAGCCAUGUCAUACUAGUCUCACUGAGAAAUGGAUAUUUAUUGCCCCCCCUGUGUCACAUUGUCAAAAUGAAUGAUAUAAUUAUACCAUAUCUGAGAUGAAGGAUUUGCAGGGGUUUGUAUUGGAUGCCCUUUUCCAGUCUUAAAAGUUAGUGGGGGCUGUAGUAGGCUGUACUCAGAUGCAGACAUUUCAUUUGCUAUUAGAGACUGUGACUACUGAAAUCUGGGGCUGCUGGCAGUGUUGUGUAGCCCAGGGUCAUGACAGCCAGGCUUCCUGCUUUCUCCUCUUGUAGAAAAAGCUGAGUUGAGACACGGCCAUUUUCACUAAGAGGACAGAGGCAGAUGGUACCAGAGCUGGGGUCAUUUCCUACACCCUCUCUUUCUUCCAACAUCCAGAGUAACAAGCUUAACUCUUUAGGGCUUUCCACCCUCUUUUUAAUUAGGUCUUUAUUUUUCCCUUCCCUCUUCACAGCAGCAGUAGUCAGUAGACAGCACCUUGGACUUGGGAGAUAAAGUGCAGUUCUUUCUACGCUGCUGAGCUUGACAGAUUUAUUCUGACCACGUACUUAUUGCCCUGCGUAUGCAGUAUCAGCUUGGUCUCACUGUUGCCCGGUCAGAAUGCUUAAACUUCUUGGUCAGCUAUACCACCCUAGCCCAACCUCCUCAUGCCCCGAAAAUGUUGCUAUGAGAUGCAGAGCCAAACCUACAUCUGGGAACACCAUUUCCUUACCUGACUGCAAACGUCAUUGGGUUAGGCAUGGAAACAUAAAGCAAGCUGACACGUCUUACCUUGCUCAAGUUGGACUAUACAUUUUGGAAAAAAAAAGGCAUGCCCGAAAUUUCAGUGAUGUCAGUGAACUUUGGUUCUAACACCUAGCAAACAAGCUGAAACAGUCUUUUAGAAUUUAGAUUUAGUUGGCCAUAUAUUAGAAAUCAAACUUCAGAUCAGUUAAAUUGUCGUCAUCAACAGUAAAUGAGACCACUGUAUUCUAAAGAGUAUUUAACAUGUAGUUGAAGAGAAGUAAGAUAUCCUAGGAAUAUUUUAGACUCCAAGAUGAAUGUUUUCCCUACUGUUACUACAUUUUAAGUGCAAGAGCUUCUAUUUUUAAUGUUAUACUGAGGUAUGGAAUCAUCUGUAAAGAUGGUAACUGUCAGUACUUAAUAUUUGCAUCGUAUUUCAUUCCGCUUCUCUCAUCAUUGUUGACAAAUAAUCCUAGGUGUUAUACAGAUGCCUUUAUUGCAGCUUCCUGUGUGAAUCUAGAGCCGUGUUCUUGACCUGCUUUCACAUGGUGUGAACCUUUCAGAGAUCUUGAUUGGAUCGUGAACAAUCCAGUUGUGAAAGGAGAUGACAAGGAGUAGAGAAGAAACUCUGAGAAGAAUCUGGAGAAUAGGUAAAUAUUUUAUGUUCUCCCGACCACCACCAUCUACUUUGGACACCUUUCUAGGAAGUGCUUUUGUGAAUGGCUCGGCUGGCAGAAUUUUUCAUGGAAAGAGCUAAUGUUCAAUACAUUUGUAUGUUGAUGGUGCUUCUCAUCAAAAACCUGUAUCCAUAACAGAGAUCUGAGAAUGGAUAAAGUACAAGACAAGAAAACGAAGUGGAAUAGAUAAAUGAUGGAAGAGUAUUUUGGAAAGAAACUACUGAGAAAGCCAUGCAGGUGCUGCUGGGUUUUAUUUGUUUAUUUAUUAUAAGUUAAAGAUUUAUUUUAAAUUUUGUAAUCAGAGUUGCUUCAUUUAGAUGCACAGCUAUGAAAAUUAAAAAAAAAAAAAAGAAAAAGAAAAGAAAAAGAAAAAAAAAGAAAGAAAACCAAUGUCCUAAAUAAGUUCUUAUGUUUCUUUUUUCUUCUGAGGUCAAGUUCAUUAUUGUAACUUUGUGAGUGUUUUUCAUAGUGCCAUUGCCAAAUGACAUUAAAAUUACUAAUACAGAAGUAGAUUAAGAGAACAUGAUUAAGAUUGCAAAGUCAGGAAAAAUCAUAAUUAAGGUUGCCUGUGCAAUUUUAACUCAGUUCCUGUGUGGAUAUCCAUCCUGAUAAGAGGGUUUAAUUACGUAGCCAUGGUCUUUUUCUUUUCUUUUUUUCCUCAGGACACUUCCCAAUCACUGAGCACCAUUUUACUGACUCUUCUCAAAGUGGUUAUAUUUUCAUGGGUAUUUAUUUUUUUAUUAUUAUUUUUUAUUUUUAUUUUUUUAUUCAGAGGGCAGAGGAGAAAUAAUAAGAUUCUUACACUUAAGAAUCGGGAUGUUAAAGUGCUGACAUUACGAUUUCACCAUAUUGUAACUUCUGUAGAACAUAAGUUUCUUAACUGUAACAAAAUGCCCAACUAGUGCUUUUGGGAGGGAGCCAACACUGUUCCCUGUCUUCCUCAGUCCCACAGAAAUCAAAUUCAAGUCCCACUAUCUGUGUGUGUGUGUAUAUAUAAUUUAUAUGUAUAAAUAAAAGCAUCGUGAAGCAGAAGUGUGAAUGAAACUGUAAAUAUGACUUUAUGGUGGAAACUUUGGGCAGUGGUUUCAUUGUUUCUCAUUUCAACCUUUUUGAAAAUGCUGCAAAGGAAUCGAGAAGUAAAUGGAAAGUUUCUGAAUUUAUUUUCCUUACUGGAACUCCUUAGAUUAUGUCAUUUUAAAAACUGUGACACCGAGCUACAAACGUGGUGAACGGUCUGGAGGGAAAAACAUAUGAGGAGUAGCUGAGGUCCACUGGUCAGUUUGUUCAGCUAAGAGGAGGCUGAGGGAAGGCCUCAUUGUGGCUUACAGUUGGACUCAGUGAUCCUUAUGGGUCCCUUCCAAUUCAGGAUGUUCCAAUUCAGAUGACUCUGUGAUUCUGUUAUUUUUAGUGUUGCUUUUCUUUGUGUACUGUGGGUUGGACCCCAUUCAUUUUUUUUUUCCUCAUUAUACAAGAACUCCAGCAUAAUUCUAAAAAGGCUGGUAAGAAGUUCACAAAUAAGGAAUUGAUUUUAAAUACAAUUUUUUUAAAACAUCUGCUUGAUUCUCAGUGUAGUUUUGUAUUUUGCAAAAUUAAGAUAUUAUCACUUAAGUUGAUUAUGAAAACUCUAAAAGCAGAUAAAAUUAGGAAGAACUUAACCAGAAAGAAUGGAAAUCUACCCUACUGGUACCAGUUUGGCAUUCACAAGUUGAUUUUUAUAAAUCUUCAGUUGACCUUUUUGACAGGAGCCUUUUGAAGUUCAGUGACAAUGAAUAUGAAGCUCUGUACCUGGAACUGAGGAACUGCUGUUAAAGCAUGGGCUGUGGCUUGCCAGGCUGGGGAGCAGCUCUGAUCAAAGCAGCCUAGUGGUCUUGCUGGACCAGUGUGUCUGAUCAUGUUUCUUCUUGUACCACAUCUGCCUUUUGAAGAAGGGAGGGGGGGAAGCCACAUGUUUUCAGGCUGUGGAACUACUAAAGUGUCUGAAUAAAGGAAUUAUUGGUAAAAAAUCUUUCAGAAAUAAUAUUGUGGAAGAAACUACUACUGAAAAACAAUGAGGUUUCUGCUCAAGGUUUUCUAGUCCUGACAUAACAUGGUACUGUUCAUUAGCCUGACGGUUUCUGUAUCAUGCUGGUUUGUGUCUGGCCAAGAAGGUGCAUGUAUAAAGAUUGCUUCUACAAGUCUGUAUCUGUCUGCAGAGCUGAACCUCAAUUAUCAUAUCUGACAAAGAAUAAGCUGUUAUUAUAGUAAAAAUUACAUGGGAGGUCUUUAAAAUAAGCCUUCUCCUUGCUGACUGACAGGAGAGGCUGAGUGGCUUUAACAUAGUGCACCAAAGUGUAUUCCUGAAUUGGUUUCACCUUUAUUUCAGAGACACGAAAAGGAUGAUCAUUUAAUAAUUCAUAUAAGCGUUGUCACGAUCAAGGGAAGAAUGCGAUUCAUUUAAAUUUGGAAGAGAAUCUGAGUGACUGCUUUGCAUCAGUAAACUUCAGAGUGCUCUGUAAUUCAUCGUGCUCAACAGGAAGAAAAACAAGUUGAAGAAAGUGAAUAUAUAAUGCUGUUAGAACAGUUUUGAAUUUAGCUGAACUUUACUCUUCAGUUCACUGACUGGUGUGACAUUAAGAACACAAGAAAGGUCAGUUAAAUGGCAAUAUCAAAAAGUUUCUUAAAUUACAAGAUGGCUCUUGCCUGUGUCCAGGCUACUGGUGAAUCCUUAGCUAAUUAUCAUGGUAUGCCAAUAGACAAACACUCUACUCUAGAUGUACAAAUAUGUUCUUUCAAUGUUAAAAUUAUUUGCAGUGGUAGAGCAACAUUUCCCAAACUUCCACCAUGAUCAAACAGAAAGCAGAUUUUGAAAAGGUAUUAUUUAACGAUUUCUUUUUUUAAGUUUUGAAAGAUGGAGGCUUUGAUUUCUGUAAAGCUGUUUAUGGUACUCCUUAAGAUUUGACCUCUACCUUAAUGCUAUUAUAAGCGGGAAUAUAAUUAAUAUUUCUUUCCAGCAUAGGGCCAACGAGUCAGUAGUUCCUCAGGAGAGGAGAGCAUUAUACGUAUGCCAAGUAGGAGCACCACAUUUUGGGGUCCUGUUUGUACCAACCUGGGUUAAAGUUUGUUAUACAAGGGGGCUGUAAGCAAAAUCUUGAAAGUGCAGAAAUAAAAGACUGUUUGAUUUACUUAUGUAUGACCUACAAGAUUUUAAUCUUAAUGGAUCUCCUUCACAAACCGUAGCCAGUGUGGCAUAUAUUCAUUCACUAACCCAACUCUUCUUCAUGUAAAUGGUGUUGCAAACUCUUGUGAGUCUGGCAAAAUUCCAGCAUUAGCAAAAUGGUAUAGAAGCACUUUCACUCUUUGAAGAUCAAACAGUAAAGAAUAAAUGAGUCUUUCUCAAAUGCCC